ensembl:misc_RNA Metazoa_SRP Metazoan signal recognition particle RNA
GCUGGGCGCGGUGGCAUGUGCCUGUUGUCCCAGCUACUCUCGAGGCUGAGGUGGGAGGAUCCCUUGAGCCCAGGAGUUCUGGGCUGUAGUGUGCUAUGCUGAUCGGGUGUCCGCACUAAGUUCGGCAUCAAUAUGGUGACCUCCCGGGAGUGGGGUACCACCAGAUGGCCUAACGAGGGGUGAACCAGCCCAGGUCAGAAACGGAGCAGGUCAAAACUCCCAUGCUGAUCAGUAGUGGGAUUGUGCCUGUGAAUAACCACUGCACGCCAGCCUGGGAAACACAGCAAGACCCUGUUGCUA